UUCCGGUUGAUCCUGCCGGACCCGACUGCUAUCAGAGUGGGACUAAGCCAUGCGAGUCAACGUAGCAAUACGUGGCAUACGGCUCAGUAACACGUAGUCAACAUGCCCAGGGGACGAGGAUAACCUCGGGAAACUGAGGAUAAACCUCGAUAGGCCAUGAUUUCUGGAAUGAUUCUUGGCUCAAACCUAUAUGGCCCCUGGAUUGGACUGCGGCCGAUCAGGCUGUUGGUGAGGUAAUGGCCCACCAAACCUAUUACCGGUACGGGCUCUGAGAGGAGGAGCCCGGAGAUGGGCACUGAGACAAGGGCCCAGGCCCUAUGGGGCGCAGCAGGCGCGAAACCUCUGCAAUAGGCGAAAGCUUGACAGGGUUACUCUGAGUGAUUUCCGCUAAGGGAAUCUUUUGGCACCUCUAAAAAUGGUGCAGAAUAAGGGGUGGGCAAGUCUGGUGUCAGCCGCCGCGGUAAUACCAGCACCCCGAGUGGUCGGGACGAUUAUUGGGCCUAAAGCAUCCGUAGCCGGUCCUGCAAGUCUUCCGUUAAAUCCAGCUGCUCAACAGAUGGGCUGCGGGAGAUACUACAGGGCUAGGAGGCGGGAGAGGCAAGCGGUACUUUAUGGGUAGGGGUAAAAUCCGCUGAUCCAUAGAAGACCACCAGUGGCGAAGGCGGCUUGCCAGAACGCGCUCGACGGUGAGGGAUGAAAGCUGGGGGAGCAAACCGGAUUAGAUACCCGGGUAGUCCCAGCUGUAAACGAUGCAGACUCGGUGAUGGGUUGGCCUCGCGCCUGCCCAGUGCCGCAGGGAAGCCGUUAAGUCUGCCGCCUGGGGAGUACGGUCGCAAGACUGAAACUUAAAGGAUUGGCGGGGGAGCA
rnacentral:rRNA from 1 species